UACGUGGGGUGCAAACGUUGCUCGGAAUCAUUGGGCGUAAAGCGCACGUAGGCGGUUCGUUAUGUCGGAUGUGAAAGCCCUUGGCUUAACCGAGGAAGUGCAUCCGAAACUGGCGAGCUAGAGUACUAAAGAGGAUCGCGGAAUUCCCGGUGUAGAGGUGAAAUUCGUAGAUAUCGGGAGGAACACCGGUGGCGAAGGCGGCGAUCUGGGUAGAUACUGACGCUGAGGUGCGAAAGCGUGGGGAGCAAACAGG
rnacentral:rRNA from 1 species